UGAUGACAUUCAUGUGGUGAAGGUAGGCUGACCUUUUAGUGAAGCAUUUCUUGAAACUCCUGAUG
rnacentral:snoRNA from 1 species